AUUGCUGAAUGUUUCUCAGGCUCAACUGCAAAGUCUUCAUCCAAUUGGUGAAAACCUGGGUCUCAUCAGCUAAGUAAUAUGGAUUUUCCCUCAGCCAGUCAGCACAAGGUUCUGCCUCCAUCUUCCUACUGUCAUAGUGGAUGAAGGGCUGGUUAUCUACAAAGCCACUGGCAAAAAAUGCAGGAACUCCUGGGCCCGGCUCCGUCACGGCUGAGUAAGAAUAGUGCAGAGAGUGUGAUCCUGAGGUAAGAAAAGGAUUUAGUGUGAGGUACCAAGUACACACACACACACAGACACACGUAAAUGAAAACAAUAACAACCCACCAGCUAGGAGAGUCAGAUUCCACACUGUGCACUAGGAUAAUUCAGAGAAUUAACAAAUGAGGGUAAAGGGCUGGGGACAUAGCUCAUAGGUUAAGAGCAUGUGUCACUCUCAUAGAGGACCUGGUUCAAUUCUCAGCAUCUACAUGGCCUCUCCCAACCGUCUGUCCUUCCACCUCCAGGGGAUCUCAUGUCUUCUGACCCCAAAGGGUGCCCUCUGUGUGUGGUGCACAUAUGAAGCUACAGCACCUCAGUCUCUCCAUAGCAGAGUUUUGAUUUUGUUUUUAGUUAAUUAAGGAAGUUAGAUACAAAGUGAUGGGUUUCAUCUUCUCUCCUUUGUGCAUUUGUGCAUUGUGCCUGGGUAUAGUUAUUUUGUAUCCUAAGUGCUGGGGGCUGAACUCGGGACUCUGCAUCCCAGACAGCUGCUCUCAGGAGCACUGCCUGUCAUCCCAGCAUUGUUUCCUUUCUGUGAAGAUUAUUUUAGGGCCUGAAGAGCUGGCGCCUGCUGCUCUUACAGAGGAUUCAAGUUUAGUUCCCACACCCACAUGGCUGUUAACAACCACCUGUAACUGUAGUCUCAGGGGAUCUGGUGUCCUCCUCUGACUCGUGCAGGUGUUUAACGUAUGUGAUGUACACCCCACCCCCAACCACCCCUACAUAGGCCAGGAGAGGGUUUCUGAUGUCCUAGAGGUGGAGUUACCAGUGGUUUUACUAGGAACUGAAUUCCCACCCUUUGCAAGAGCAGUAUGUAUCCUUUACUGGUGAAGCACCUCAGCUGCCUCUGCCAUUAGACUCUAUUACCUUUUGAACCACCUCAGCAGCCUCUGCCAUUAGACUUUGUUACCAUUUGAACCACCUCUGCAGCCUCUGCCAUUAGACUUUGUUACCAUGUGCUCUUCCUCUCAUUGCUCUGUUCCAUACUCUUGCCCCUUCUCCAGCUGCUUCUAUUUCUUUCCUAGUUAAACCCAGCUCUGCUGCUUCUGUUUUAUCACAUGUUCUGUAUCACCUGCCUCCUUUAACAUCUCUUCUGUGUUUCUAUUGUGUUUUGCAGUCCUCCCAUAUAUUUAAAAGCACAUAUACACAUGGGUGUAUAAUUUUGUUUUUUUCAAAUGUUUAUUUUUGAGACAGGGUCUGAUGUAGCUGAGGCUGGUCUUGAACUUCUGAUCUUUCUGCGUCCACCUCCCAAAUGCUGGGAUUACAGGUGUGGACGGCCACACGCACACCCAAAAUAAUAAUUUUAAUCCGGAGUUCUAGAGAUGAAAAAAUUAUGUUUGUCCUUAUGAGGCUUGCUUAUUAGAGUAUUGAUUUCAGUUGUAUCCAUCUCUCACAGUAUCAUAAUUUAAUUUUGCCUUAAAAUGUCAUGGAAUUUCAUUUUAUAGCAAAGGAAGAUUUCCUUGUAUUAUAUCAAACUCUAGUGUGUAUUUGAACUUCAUUUUUUUUUUUUGAGGCAGGGUUUCUCUGUGUAGCCUUAGCUGUCCUAGAACUCACUCUGUAGAACAGGCUGGCCUGGACUCAUAGAGAUCCGCCUGCCUUCCCAGUCCUAGGAUUAAAGUCAUAGGGCACCACCUCCUGAUUUUGUCUUUCCUCAUCUAGUUGUCUGUGGAUGCACAGCCAGGCAGGAUUCCCAGGUUUCUGUGCAUGUUCCCUGUUUGAGUGGAUAAGAAAGCCAACCCACAUUCUGAAAUACAUACAGCAGUUAUUUCUCUGGGGUGGGGGUGGUGUCCAGGGUUGCCUAGAACUCAGCAGUCCUCAUACUCGUCUUCCAAAUCAUUACAGGACACAGGCAUGAGAUACCAUACCCAGCUCCAUUUCAACUGUCUUAGUGUAGUAGCUGAGGAGGAGCCCAGACUUCACCCUCUAACAUUCUGUAACUCAAUGCCUCAGAAGUCUCCUAGAGGCUCCUAAGAUGAUCUGGUAGCUUGUGAGUGUCAGCCUGGGAGCCACAGACAGAACCCCUUUUAUCCCAACCUCUACAAAGUUUUCUGACUCUAAGUCUCUAUGGUAAUAGGUGGAAGUGGUGGAUGGUCCACCCCAACACCUGGACAGGCACUCUACCUAUUGAGCUCAUCGUCAGCGCUGGGUUCUCUCCUUGGUUGUUUUUUUUUAAGACUUAUUUACUUAUUAAAUGUAUAUGAAUACACUGUCCGUGUCUUCAGACACAUCAGAAGAGGGCAUCAUCAUAUCCCAUUACAGAUGGCUGUGAGCCACCAUGUGGUUGCUGGAAAUUGAACUCAGGACCUCUGGAAGAGCAGUCAGGCUGUUAACCGCUGAGUCACCUCUCCAACCCUCUCCUUCUUUUUUAAAAAGGCACCCUUUCCUUCCCAGAACUUGUGACUUUUACUUCUCCACCCACCUGUCACCUGUAUCCUGUCAACUGUAUCCUGUUAUCUGUAUCCUGUCACCUUAACCCUGUCACCUUAACCCUUCACCUGUACCCUGUCACCUGUAUCCUGUCACCUGAAUCCUGUCACCUGAAUCCUGUCACCUGUAUCCUGUCACCUGAAUCCUGUCACCUGAAUCAUGUCACCUGAAUCCUGUCACCUGUACCCUGUCAUCUGUACCCUGUCACCUGUAUCCUGUCACCUGUAUCCUGUCACCUGUAUCCUGUCACCUUAAUGCUUCCUAUGCUUCAUUGACAUCUUGCCUAGGAAAGUCUCCUUUCUUCUGCUGUGCACCUUCACAAGGGGCCUCCAAGUCUCUAAACACAUCUGCUAUCUGAUAAGGCACGCAGCACAAGAAAGGAGUUAGAGACAGGGAACCCCAGGAACAAGCACCUGUCUCAUGCAGUUGGGCAGACUGUCCCAUGCCCAGCAGGGUUCACUGUAGAACCGCAGGGUACACAGGCUGAGCUUGCAGUCAACUGUGAAGGCAAAGUUGGGGUUCAGGUUCUUCCUCCUUGAGGACCUUAGUCUGUCACCCUCUUUAACUGGUAAGGCCGUUCCACCUGACGGAGGAAUUCUGCCGAUUUAAUGUAAGUCCCACCCAAAAGCAGCCCCACAGAAACAUCUAAAAUAAUGUUCAGCCAAAUAUCUGAAUGUUGUGUUCUAGUCAAAUUGACACAUGAAAUCAGCCAUUAUAACCAGCUCCCAAAAUACAUAAUUGCACAUGUUAUGUUCAUGAGUAUGUGCAUGCAUCUGUACAUGAAGCUGAGGCAGGAGGAUCAUGAACUCGGGGGUCACAUAAAUAGAAUUCUAUCUCAAAAUAAUUGACAAUGACAACUGUAGAGAGAUCCUCUGGUGUCCUGGAUGGAUGCUCACCUGACUAUUAAAAAGCCUAUGGCCUAAGUAGGAAAUAGAGGUGGGAUGAGGAAUUCUGGAGAGGAGGAGUCAGGGAGAGGAGGUGGGGUGGCGGGUGAGGAAACACCUGGUACCUGAGCACAGGUAACCAACCAGUCAGGUGGCAAAUGCAGCUUAUGGUGGAGCCACAGUAGAGCCUAGAUACAUCGACAAGGGGUCUGUAAAUAUAACUUGAGUCUGAGUCUUAGUUCUGGGAGCUUGUGCUGGCAGGAAGAACCCGGACUUAACUUUAUCAAAUGACAAUGCCUGGGAGACUUCUCAGCUAGUUAAGUCCCCUGAUGCCAUCUAUAAUGUGGAAGGAGACGUGAUCCAAACAGGUCGUCCUCUGACCUCCACAUCUGGGCUGUAGUAUGGGUUGCAGGCUACACACAUGAGCACACACAAACAUGCAUAUGAAUAAAUUUACACUACAGUGUGCACAGUGUGUGCUUUAUAAGCAAGCAUACAGUUCACAGAAGCAGGCAGGUUGCUGGGGAGACAGCUCAGCUGUUCAGAGCACUCACUGCUCUUCCAGAACUUGGUGGUGUAGCUCUGAGCACCACCUGGAGGGGCUGUGUAACUCUAGCUCCAGAGUGGGGCGUGUGAUGCCCCCUUCAGACCUCUGGCACAAAUACACACAUACACGCAAAUACUGAAAACCACAUUAGAACAUAAGGAAAGGGCUGGCUCGAGAGUGCCUUUAAUUCCAACUCCCGUGAGGUCAAGGCCAGCAGAGCUACUAAGUAAGAGGUAGUCUGAAGUUCCCGGGUAGAGCUUUUCCUGCCCUAAAUCUACCCAGAGAGGAUGUGCCCUACAGCCCACCCCAACCCCACUCACGGGCUCCAGUGUCUUGGGGGUGGCUCAGGAAGCAGAAGAUCAGAGACCACAU